UUCACCUGAUGAACUUCCCCCUUCUCCCGAAACGUUUGAGAAAAAUAUUUGGUGUCAGGUGACUGAUGAGUAAUGUUAUGUGUUACGUGAAUUGAGUCUAAUUAUGGUGCGAUAAGUAACUUCAGAACUGUGAUAAUAGAUUUUAAUGUUAAAUAUUAUGGCUGAAUAUCCCCAUAAAAGAACUCCCAGAGCAAACCAGACGCGCUCUGGCCAAACUCCUCGCUACUAUCAACAUUUAGGAGUAACAGAUUUGAGAGAAAUAAUUGACCGCAAACGUAGUGAAAGAGGAGAACACGAUGUACCUGGUGACUCGUCAAGAGUUUCAACAGGAAGUCCUCAAACUACCACAGAACCUCCUAAACAGGGUAUCAGAAGUCCGCCUUAUAAUAAGAAAAACGUGAAUAAAAACAACGACGAUUACAAGAGGCCUCCCACUAAUCCCUCCAGACAAAACAAAGACAUUGAAAACCCUCUAAACAUUAAAGUUGAAUUUUCCACUUUGACUGGAGAACAUUCGUAUAAACUGGACGAAGACACUGUUCUACCGACAAUAAAACAUGUGCCGGACCAAAGAUACAAUAGUUACAGAGGCAGGGGUCGAGGUCGAGGCAGAGGCCGGGGCUAUCAAAGACAAGUGAAGAGCAGGAAAACAAAUGAGGUUUCAGGCUCUAGUACCCCAUCAGACUACGUCAGUGUUACAAUACAUAACAAAACUGACGAAAACUGUAAAGAAACGACUCAUGCUAACGCUCCGUGUGAGGAGGAAGCAGAAAGACAUGGAGAGGAAAAUAUAGAGAUGAUGAAGAAUAUGAAAAUUAAUGAAGAGUGAUGAAAGUAUAGUUAUUGAAAACGUACCGACGACUUGGCUCAUUUCAAACAAAUAGCAUUUACUUUAGUACGCAUUUUAUUUAACAGUUAUCUUAUUUUUUAUUUUUAUUCUGUUGUUUUGUAAUUUUUUUGUGUCUUAUUUUAUUGUUAUUAUUUAGUUUAUUGUAAUAAAAGGGCUCCCAGUGUCAUCAUCACUUUGAUCAGAAUUUUAUUGUGCAUAUGACAAUAUAAACAUAAUUAAGUUUUUUUUAAUUUUUACUUAUAAUUUUUAAUACAAAACAUUAAUAAAGAAGACUUAUUUUGA